CUCUGCAAAGGUUUGCAUUCCUUUGAGGUCGGAAGGCACUGGUGGGUGCCAGAGCAGCACUUUGUUUAGUGAGGAGAUCGUGCCUGGAAUCCGGCAGCUCCAGGGGAAAAUCCGGGAAAAAGCAUUUCUGACACUUUUAUUCCUCACUUCAACUGCAAAGUUGUGUUCUGGAGUAGAUGUUUGGGAGCGAGCAGGACACUACAUUAAGCUUUUUUAUUUCUGGAACAGAACAAGCUACACAAAGCUGAGCCUCACGUUUGGCAGGGUCGUGCUGUAUUCCACGGCAUUUCAGGUUAAGUUUUGUGGAUACCUGUCCAUCCCCGUCUCUCCUUCCUGCAGACCCCUCACCUAACACCUGGGGGUCCCUGAUCCGUGUGAAAUCGCCCCGAAGCCCCUCUCCUCCCCCCGGAACACCGCGCUGCAGCUCCGGCUCCUUCCCAUUCAUUCCCUUGGAGCCGGGAUGCUCGCAGGCACCUGCCGGCACCCUUGGCAGGAUAACCGCGCCGCAGGGGCGUCUGUCGCGAUGGAGGGCUGCGGUAUGAAGUCUGUCUGUCGCGACAGAGGGCUGCGAUAAGAAGCCUCUCUAUGCGGGGCAGCUCUGGCGCAUCCCGCCGAGCGCAUGACGCCGGCGCCGGGAAAAGCCAGGGAAACACGGCGCUCCAGGGGAACAGCCGGCGUCCCGGAGGUGCCAGCCGGCUCCAUCCCACGCCUUUCCCCGAGCCCGGCUCCGCCGCUCCGCCUCCCCCGCUCCGAGCGCAGCGGCUGCGGCAGCGGGCGGGGCGCGGGGACCGGCCCGGGCCGCACGGACAGAGCGGGCGGGAGGUGAGCGGCGGGGAGGAGGGAAACGAGGAGGAGGAGGGAGGGAGGAAGGGAGGAGGGAAAGGUGGGGAUUUAAGCGCGGGCAGCGCCGGGCUGGGGAGCUGCGGUGCGCGGAAGGAGGUGAGGGAGGCGCGGGGCCGCGCUGCACUACAUCCCGGUGUUUUACAUCCCGGUGUUUUACAUCCCGGUGCGCUGCAUCCCGGCGUUCUGCAUCCCGGUGCGCUGCAUCCCCGUGUUCCCGCAUCCCGGUGCGCUGCAGCCCGGUGUUUUACAUCCCGCCCGGUGUUCUGCAGCCCGGAGCUCCCGCAUCCCGGCGUUCCCGCAUCCCGGAGCCCCCGGUGCCGGCGCUCAUUCCCCGCUCAGCUCGGCUCGGCUCGCCCAAGGGCACCGCGGCGGAGGCGCGUCCCGGAGCAUCCCCAGCCAGGGCCGCUGACCUUGGCGAGCGCGGCCGCGGCCACGGCGAGUCCCCGGCGGCUCGGCACUCUCCAAGCCCCCUGGAGCUGAAGAUGGACGUGAAGAGGGUGAAGGACUACCUGUACUGGCUGUACUACCAGUACCAGCUGGUGACGUGCAGCUACGUGCUGGAGCCCUGGGAGCAGUCCAUGUUCCACACCAUCACGGUCACCGUGCUGGCCAUGGUGGUGUACACCGCCUACGUCUUCGUGCCCAUCCACGUCCGCCUGGCCCUGCAGUUCUUCUCCCAGAUCUUUGGGUCCCAGCCCAAGGGUGCUGUGCUGAACUGAGCCGGGCCCAGCAGGGCCCAGCAGCUCUGUGGAAUGAGUCACAAAUGGUUCCUGCUGAGGAAAACCCUGCUUGUUUCACCUGUGGGGCUGGAGAGCGGAGUGAGGCACCAAGCCCUCUUCCAUGGACACUCUGGGAAUGGCACACAGCUCCUGGGAUGGCACAGGAUCCACACAGCUCCCACCCCAGCACCAAACCCCAUCUCCUGUUCCAUCCUUGCUCAGCCAUUCUCUUCCCAGUGCUGCUUUAGGAUCUGCUGCUUUGAGGGACAGCAAAGUUCUGCUGCCCCAAACUCACUGUGACCACCAGACUGGAGGGGUGUGAUGUGCCCAAGCCUCUUUGUUCUGGCAUUUCAGGCAGCACAAGUGUAGAAGAAAAUGGGGCACUGGCAGGUUUUCCAGCAGGGAAUCUGCUGAAUUCCCUAUGGACUGAUCUGCUUGGAAUGCCCUCAAACCCCAAAAUAACAGAAUCCCUCUGUAAAGCCUUGAACACUUUCUUAUCAUUCUGUUUUCUCAAAAUAGAUGCUUUUAGCCUGCAUUUAAAGAUUGUUUCAAAUGCCAAAAAGCACAUUUAACAAUGAACAGUGGAAGCAAACCCUAUUUCCUGUUUAAUUCUUGCUCAGCCAUUCUCUUUCCCAAGUGGAGCCAGGAACAAUGAAUGCAUAAAGGCAUUACCCAGGAGGAAAAUCUGUCUUGGAUUUGUAAUUUCCAUUUAAUAUUCUUUUAAUCUGUAACGUUUUUCAUUUCUUUGGAAAUGAGCUGCAUCCAACUGCUCUGGCAGAGGCUCUUUUGGUGGCUCCUCACACCCAAAGUUCUACCAACACAGUGCAGGGGCCAGGUCAGAGGAGAUAACAAAUGAGGAUAUCCAGCAGGAUUGGAGUGCUCACGUCUGGCUGGUGGGUGACUCCCAGGCUUCAAUGGAUGGGAGAGGAACUCGGAAGAGAAUGCAACAGGAGGAUGAGCUCAAAUCCAGCUUUUUUCACGUCUAAGUUCCUGCCUCUGAGUUCAGAUGGUCUAAAAUAUUUUUCUUUUUGGAAAAAAGUUCUCCGCCUCAUCUUGCAGCUUAGUGAGGAUGACAGGAAGAAGCAGCCCUGCUCUGUCUCAGUGCCCUCCUGCCUUCUCUGAUGAAAAUCAAAAUCUUUUCUUGCUGCUCCCACUCUCCAAGGUAGCAAAGUGCAAACCAGCACCGGGGGAAGAGGACCCAGAGUGGAAAUAAUAUUUUAAUACCUGCAGGGAAGGCUUAAAGAGAUCUCCUUUACGAAGAAGAAAUUAGAUUUAUUACCAUUGCCUGUGGGGAUGUUUUGGAACAAUGGGAGGCUUGUUUGGUUUUCACUCUACACAAAUCAAACGUGGGUGCCAAAUCAUAAAUUACAGCUGCACUCUGCACGUCUCCACCAGCUGAUGCUCCUGUUAGUAAAGUGAGAGGUGCAAAAUGUAAAUAGCUUUCAAAUGAUGUUUGCACAGUUCUAGAUUAAAGAGAAGACCCUCUCAACUCCUUUCUCAAGCUGCAGUGGGCUCCUGCAUGCUUCAGAGCACAAAUUUGUUUGGAAACGAAGACAUGUGGUGAAGGUUGCCCAGAUCUGAACAUGUGUAUGCAGUUUUUUCAGCCAAAAAAAAUAAAAUUUUCUUCUUCACAAACGACCUCUGGCUGCAUGACUCAGCUCUUCUGUGUUUUCCACUCAUUCAUAAAUAUUCUGGAUGAGUGUGGGCCAGGCUGGCACUGUGAAAGAAGGAUUAUUUUGUGGUGAAUGUUUUGGGGAGAGGUUGGAGAAUCCUUUCAGUGGAUCUAGGGUGAGUGAACUUCAUCCCAAGAGCUCUCCUGUUUCUGGAGGGAAAAAACCUUCUGAUCUGCUUCAAAUUAAGG
rnacentral:lncRNA from 14 species